AUUCUUACCUGGCAGGAAAGAUAUGAUCACGAAGGUGGUUUUCCCAAGGCGAGGCUUAUCCAUUACACUCCAGAUGUGCUGACCCCUGCGAUUUCCCCAAAUGUGGGAAACUCGACUGCAUAAUUUAUGGUAGUGGGGGACUGCGUUCGCGCUCUCCCUGG
ensembl:snRNA U1 U1 spliceosomal RNA